GGGUUGUGAGGUUAAGCGACUAAGCGUACACGGUGGAUGCCCUGGCAGUCAGAGGCGAUGAAGGACGUGCUAAUCUGCGAAAAGCGUCGGUAAGGUGAUAUGAACCGUUAUAACCGGCGAUGUCCGAAUGGGGAAACCCAGUGCAAUUCGUUGCACUAUCGUUAACUGAAUACAUAGGUUAACGAGGCGAACCGGGGGAACUGAAACAUCUAAGUACCCCGAGGAAAAGAAAUCAACCGAGAUUCCCCCAGUAGCGGCGAGCGAACGGGGAGCAGCCCAGAGUCUGAAUCAGCUUGUGUGUUAGUGGAACGGUCUGGAAAGUCCGACGGUACAGGGUGAUAGUCCCGUACACCAAAAUGCACAGGCUGUGAACUCGAAGAGUAGGGCGGGACACGUGGUAUCCUGUCUGAAUAUGGGGACCAUCCUCCAAGGCUAAAUACUCCUGACUGACCGAUAGUGAACCAGUACCGUGAGGGAAAGGCGAAAAGAACCCCGGCGAGGGGAGUGAAAAGAACCUGAAACCGUGUACGUACAAGCAGUGGGAGCACCUUCGGGUGUGACUGCGUACCUUUGUAUAAUGGGUCAGCGACUUAUAUUCUGUAGCAAGGUUAACCGUAUAGGGGAGCCGCAGGGAGUCUUAACUGGGCGUUAAGUUGCAGGGUAUAGACCCGAAACCCGGUGAUCUAGCCAUGGGCAGGUUGAAGGUUGGGUAACACUAACUGGAGGACCGAACCGACUAAUGUUGAAAAAUUAGCGGAUGACUUGUGGCUGGGGUGAAAGGCCAAUCAAACCGGGAGAUAGCUGGUUCUCCCGAAAGCUAUUUAGGUAGCGCCUCGUGAACUCAUCUUCGGGGUAGAGCACUGUUUCGGCUAGGGGGUCAUCCCGACUUACCAACCCGAUGCAAACUACGAAUACCGAAGAAUGUUAUCACGGGAGACACACGGCGGGUGCUAACGUCCGUCGUGAAGAGGGAAACAACCCAGACCGCCAGCUAAGGUCCCAAAGUCAUGGUUAAGUGGGAAACGAUGUGGGAAGGCACAGACAGCCGGAUGUUGGCUUAGAAGCAGCCAUCAUUUAAAGAAAGCGUAAUAGCUCACUGGUCGAGUCGGCCUGCGCGGAAGAUGUAACGGGGCUAAACCAUGCACCGAAGCUGCGGCAGCGACACUAUGUGUUGUUGGGUAGGGGAGCGUUCUGUAAGCCUGCGAAGGUGUGCUGUGAGGCAUGCUGGAGGUAUCAGAAGUGCGAAUGCUGACAUAAGUAACGAUAAAGCGGGUGAAAAGCCCGCUCGCCGGAAGACCAAGGGUUCCUGUCCAACGUUAAUCGGGGCAGGGUGAGUCGACCCCUAAGGCGAGGCCGAAAGGCGUAGUCGAUGGGAAACAGGUUAAUAUUCCUGUACUUGGUGUUACUGCGAAGGGGGGAGAAGGCUAUGUUAGCCGGGCGACGGUUGUCCCGGUUUAAGCAUGUAGGCUGAUUGUCCAGGCAAAUCCGGAUAAUCAAGGCUGAGGUGUGAUGACGAGGCACUACGGUGCUGAAGUAACAAAUGCCCUGCUUCCAGGAAAAGCCUCUAAGCAUCAGGUAACAUCAAAUCGUACCCCAAACCGACACAGGUGGUCAGGUAGAGAAUACCAAGGCGCUUGAGAGAACUCGGGUGAAGGAACUAGGCAAAAUGGUGCCGUAACUUCGGGAGAAGGCACGCUGGUGUGUAGGUGAAGUCCCUGCGGAUGGAGCUGAGACCAGUCGAAGAUACCAGCUGGCUGCAACUGUUUAUUAAAAACACAGCACUGUGCAAACACGAAAGUGGACGUAUACGGUGUGACGCCUGCCCGGUGCCGGAAGGUUAAUUGAUGGGGUUAUCCGUAAGGAGAAGCUCUUGAUCGAAGCCCCGGUAAACGGCGGCCGUAACUAUAACGGUCCUAAGGUAGCGAAAUUCCUUGUCGGGUAAGUUCCGACCUGCACGAAUGGCGUAAUGAUGGCCCAGGCUGUCUCCACCCGAGACUCAGUGAAAUUGAACUCGCUGUGAAGAUGCAGUGUACCCGCGGCAAGACGGAAAGACCCCGUGAACCUUUACUAUAGCUUGACACUGAACAUUGAGCCUUGAUGUGUAGGAUAGGUGGGAGGCUUUGAAGCGUGGACGCCAGUCUGCGUGGAGCCAACCUUGAAAUACCACCCUUUAAUGUUUGAUGUUCUAACGUUGGCCCCUGACCGGGGUUGCGGACAGUGUCUGGUGGGUAGUUUGACUGGGGCGGUCUCCUCCCAAAGCGUAACGGAGGAGCACGAAGGUUAGCUAAUCCCUGGUCGGACAUCAGGAGGUUAGUGCAAUGGCAUAAGCUAGCUUGACUGCGAGCGUGACGGCGCGAGCAGGUGCGAAAGCAGGUCAUAGUGAUCCGGUGGUUCUGAAUGGAAGGGCCAUCGCUCAACGGAUAAAAGGUACUCCGGGGAUAACAGGCUGAUACCGCCCAAGAGUUCAUAUCGACGGCGGUGUUUGGCACCUCGAUGUCGGCUCAUCACAUCCGGGGCUGAAGUAGGUCCCAAGGGUAUGGCUGUUCGCCAUUUAAAGUGGUACGCGAGCUGGGUUUAGAACGUCGUGAGACAGUUCGGUCCCUAUCUGCCGUGGGCGCUGGAGAAUUGAGGGGGGCUGCUCCUAGUACGAGAGGACCGGAGUGGACGCAUCACUGGUGUUCGGGUUGUCAUGCCAAUGGCACUGCCCGGUAGCUAAAUGCGGAAGAGAUAAGUGCUGAAAGCAUCUAAGCACGAAACUUGCCCCGAGAUGAGUUCUCCCUGAGACUUUAAGUCUCCUGAAGGAACGUUAAAGACGAUGACGUUGAUAGGCCGGGUGUGUAAGCGCAGCGAUGCGUUGAGCUAACCGGUACUAAUGAACCGUGAGGCUUAACCUUACAACGCCGAAG
rnacentral:rRNA from 1 species